rnacentral:misc_RNA from 1 species
AGCAAAGCCUCCUAGUGUGAGAUCGUAGAUGUAAGUGGAAUCAAAUAAAUCAACACCUGCAGCAACACCUUGCAAGACCUCUUCUGGUAGUCCAAGGCCACUUAUGAGACGUGGCUUUUCUUCAGGUAAACUAUCCAUAACAGCAUUAAGGAGGGGGUUACGCUCUUCCAUGCUCUCCCCUAAUCCAAAUCCCCCAAUCCAAAAACCUUCUACAUUCCUCCUAGCAACUUCUUG